rnacentral:lncRNA from 1 species
UCUUCAUUUUUGAUUAUCAUUAUUUGCUUAUUUGGUUCUCAUUUUUUCUUUUCUUUUUAAGUUUUUUUUAAAAGAUUUUGUUUUCUCUUAAUUUUGAAUUAAAUAUAUUGUUCUUUUUUCUUCCAAGUUUGUUAGAAGAAGAAAAACAAAAUUAGGUCAACACUAUAUUCAUAUAUUUCAAGGGCCAUCUCAUUCUUAUUUAAAAUCAAACCAUAUCAUAUACAAAAUUCCCAACGUCAACAUUGAUUCAUCACAAGCACAUAUUUCUGGUAAAUGCAAAAAAGAAUUAAAAUUCAAGCAGCCUCGGCUCAUUUUCAUAGUUGCAACUUAGUAACUUACUGAAGGUAGAAAUCUACAUCAUAGAAGAAUUUGCGAAGUCAUAUUACUACUACAUUUUUAAACCAAAAGCGGAAUACAAAACUAAUCGAGAUGAAUUUUGCGGACACUAGCUAGGGGUAAAAAAAAUUACAGUGAACUUUAGGUACCACAGAGAGAGAGAGAUAGAUCUAAGUUAGCUCUAAGCUUGUUCGAAGAAGAGCCGUAGCAGUGGUUUAAGUUUGACUUAGAGUAUGAAGAAGAGAUAGUCUCGCUGAUUUCACUCGUUGAAGAAGCAUUGCUUCUCUGAGUGGAAGGAUGCUGCAAUGAGAGUGACAAUGACAAUCCACAACCCCGAUCGUCGUCUUCAUCAACUUCAUGNNNNNNNNNNNNNNNNNNNNN